UACGUAGGCAGCGAGCGUUGUUCGGAGUUACUGGGCGUAAAGGGUGUGUAGGCGGUUGCUUAAGUUUGGUGUGAAAUCUCCCGGCUCAACUGGGAGGGUGCGCCGAAUACUGAGUGACUCGAGUGCGGGAGAGGAGAGUGGAAUUCCUGGUGUAGCGGUGAAAUGCGUAAAUAUCAGGAGGAACACCGGUGGUGUAGACGGCUCUCUGGACCGUAACUGACGCUGAGACACG
rnacentral:rRNA from 1 species